rnacentral:rRNA from 1 species
UGGGGAAUAUUGCACAAUGGGGGAAACCCUGAUGCAGCGACGCCGCGUGAGCGAAGAAGGCCUUCGGGUCGUAAAGCUCUUUUAUGAGGGAAGAUAAUGACGGUACCUCAAGAAAAAGCCCCGGCUAACUACGUGCCAGCAGCCGCGGUAAUACGUAGGGGGCUAGCGUUGUCCGGAAUCACUGGGCGUAAAGGGUUCGCAGGCGGAAUAACAAGUCAGAUGUGAAAGGCAUGGGCUCAACCCAUGUAAGCAUUUGAAACUGUAAUUCUUGAGAAGUGGAGAGGUAAGUGGAAUUCCUAGUGUAGCGGUGAAAUGCGUAGAUAUUAGGAGGAAUACCUGUGGCGAAGGCGACUUUCUGGACGAACACUGACGCUGAGGCGCGAAAGCCAGGGGAGCGAACGGG